CGGGCCCAUAUACAUUAUAGAGAGUGAGCCCGAUUGCAUAAACGAAGACCGUGCGUCCAUUGCAGUUGUUCGUCUUUGAAGGUUGUUGCCGGAAAUGAAUUCUAUGGCGGUGAGACUUGUGAAGCAUCUCCAACUCUCUGCACCGACCUCAUCUUCAUUCGGUGGUGUGCCGAGAAGUGGAGCGUCAUGGUAUUCGACCUCUCUAUCUGGAGGUGAAUAUCAGCCUUCACAAGAUAAUGUUGCACCAAAGAAUGAAGCAUUGGAUGGUGAACUUGAUGAUUUUCUUGGCGAAAAGGCCGAGCUACAGUUGCAAGGUGUGGAUCCCAAGAAGGGUUGGGGAUUUCGUGGCGUGCACAAGGCAAUUAUUUGUGGAAAAGUUGGCCAAGCCCCUGUACAGAAAAUACUGAGGAAUGGUAGAAAUUUAACCAUCUUUACAGUUGGGACAGGGGGCAUGUUUGACCAGAGAAUUCAAGGACCAAAGGAUUUGCCAAAACCUGCUCAAUGGCAUAGGAUUGCUGUGCAUAAUGAUAUACUGGGGGCCUAUGCAGUACAGAAACUCUUUAAAAACUCUUCAGUUUAUGUUGAGGGUGACAUUGAGAUUAGAGUUUAUAAUGAUAGCAUCAACGGUGAAGUUAAAAGCAUUCCAGAGAUAUGUGUUCGCCGCGACGGGAGAGUUCACCUCAUCAAGAGUGGGGAGAGCAUUGAUAAAAGUCAUGAAACUCCCUCGGAUGAAUUCUCAUUUUUACUUUCAGUGUUAUGACAUGUUACAACUUACAUGAGGAAAAUUUGCCUCAUCAAGAGUGGGGAGAGCAUUGAUAAAACUUCCUUGGAUGAAUUGCGAGAAGGGUUGUUUUAGGGAAAUCUGACCAUCUAACGGAAGCAUAUACUUCUGUGAGAAACUUCACCUUGUUGUAGCAGCAUUUGUAAUGAAUGCUUUGGUCCUCGAUUUUAUUUUUUUAAUAUACAUUAUUUAGCAUUCUGAAUUUCAGUUUCCCAUGGUUAUUUUCAUGUGAGAGAGGCAGAAGAACAUACUUGCUUUGGUCCUCAAACUUGGUAGUAUAUAGUUCUAAAUUUAUCAUAUCUUCUUAAAGUUUUGCUUAUGUAUGAAAGCAUUUCCUUCAUAAUAAUCAUUUUCCAAA